UACGUAGGGGGCAAGCGUUGUCCGGAUUUACUGGGCGUAAAGCGCGUGUAGGCGGCCACACAGGUCCGUUGUGAAAACUGGAGGCUCAACCUCCAGACGUCGACGGAAACCGUAUGGCUAGAGUCCGGAAGAGGAGAGUGGAAUUCCUGGUGUAGCGGUGAAAUGCGCAGAUAUCAGGAAGAACACCAAUGGCGAAGGCAGCUCUCUGGGACGGUACUGACGCUGAGACGCGAAAGCGUGGGGAGCGAACAGGAUUAGAUACCCCUGUAGUCC
rnacentral:rRNA from 1 species